rnacentral:rRNA from 1 species
AUACCGUGAAACUGCGAAUGGCUCAUUAAAUCAGUUAUCGUUUAUUUGAUAGUACCUUACCACUUGGAUAACCGUGGUAAUUCUAGAGCUAAUACAUGCUAAAAACCCCGACUUCGGAAGGGGUGUGUUUAUUAGAUAAAAAACCAAUGCCCUUCGGGGCUCUUUGGUGAUUCAUGAUAACCUAACGGAUCGCAUGGCCUUGCGCCGGCGACGGUUCAUUCAAAUUUCUGCCCUAUCAACUUUCGAUGGUAAGGUAUUGGCUUACCAUGGUUUCAACGGGUAACGGGGAAUUAGGGUUCGAUUCCGGAGAGGGAGCCUGAGAAACGGCUACCACAUCCAAGGAAGGCAGCAGGCGCGCAAAUUACCCAAUCCCGACACGGGGAGGUAGUGACAAUAAAUACUGAUAUAGGGCUCUUUUGGGUCUUGUAAUUGGAAUGAGUACAAUUUAAACCCCUUAACGAGGAACAAUUGGAGGGCAAGUCUGGUGCCAGCAGCCGCGGUAAUUCCAGCUCCAAUAGCGUAUAUUAAAGUUGUUGCAGUUAAAAAGCUCGUAGUUGAAACUUGGGUCUGGCUAGCGGGUCCGCCUCACCGCGUGCACUUGUCCGGCUGGACCUUUCCUUCUGGAGAACCUCAUGCCCUUCACUGGGUGUGUUGGGGAACCAGGACUUUUACUUUGAAAAAAUUAGAGUGUUCAAAGCAGGCCUUUGCUCGAAUACGUUAGCAUGGAAUAAUAGAAUAGGACGUGCGGUCCUAUUUUGUUGGUUUCUAGGAUCGCCGUAAUGAUUAAUAGGGAUAGUCGGGGGCAUCAGUAUUCAAUUGUCAGAGGUGAAAUUCUUGGAUUUAUUGAAGACUAACUACUGCGAAAGCAUUUGCCAAGGAUGUUUUCAUUAAUCAGUGAACGAAAGUUAGGGGAUCGAAGACGAUCAGAUACCGUCGUAGUCUUAACCGUAAACUAUGCCGACUAGGGAUCGGGCGAUGUUUCUAUCUUGACUCGCUCGGCACCUUUACGAGAAAUCAAAGUUUUUGGGUUCUGGGG